AUCAAAGUGUAGCAUCUUACCCCAAGUCUGCCUUUGUGUACUGGCCCUAUAUACAUAUAUAUAUAUAUAUAUGUAUAUAUAUAUAUGUAUGUAUGUAUAUAUAUGUGUAUAUAUAUAUAUAUAUAUAUUUUUUGGUCUCUGUUGCCUUUCACAUGGACAUUUAAAACUGUGUGUCUAUUCCUUGAAUUCUUUUAUUCUUCUGCCUUUUUUUUUUUUUUUUUAAUAUUGACACCCUAGACUUUCCAAGUGACUUCCAGCAACCCAGCUUCCCUGGUGCCUCAGCAGCAAGGAACCCGACUGCCAGUGCAGGAGAAGAGUUCAGUCAGUGGGUGCGGAAGAUCCCCGGGAGUAGGAAGUGGCUCCCCAUCCCAGUAUUCCUUCAUGGGGGAUCCCAUGGACAGAGGAGCCUGGCAGGCUACAGUCCAUGGAGUUGCAGAGUCUCAGACACGGCUGAGUAUGAAGGCUCCAGCAACCUCAGAGCAUCUGUCUCUACUGAUCGUGGGCUAGCACGGCUCUUACGGACUCUUCCCCCAUGGCCCCACUUGAGUUUGGUCUGAGGAAACAACAAACCAUUUCCACUGCAAAGCAUCUUCGACUGAGAAACUUUCAACUGCGCUGAAAAACCGAAGACAAAUUUUCCUUCCCUCUCAUUUGAAAGGACUUAAAAAAGAAAUAAAUCGUCAGAGGUUUAAAGUUAAUACUCAGGAUGAAUGAUGAUAAUUCAGAUGGCAAGACAGAAGAUGAACUGCAAUCCUUGUGUAUCUGUGAUAAAAAUGGAAACACAUAUGCAUGCAACCGAAAACCACCACCUACCCAAAACGCUGCAACCAAUAAUGUGAGUUGGCAUUGCGCCGACCCAAAUGGCGUGGUGGGUGACUAUGAAACUGGCUCUGAUGUGGACAUUGGUGAAAACAUUUCUUUAAACCCUCAGUGUGUUGAAGUACACGAUCACCAAAAGUCUUCAAGUAAUUUCAUCAGUGAGGAGGCAUUAGAGGUGCACACGGAUGCCACGUGUCCAUCUUUUGCACAGGUUGUAAAUACAGCGGAACCCAAAUAUUUGCAUAGCAGUUGUCAUUCCCUAGGAUCGUUGAACCAGAGUGUUGAGACAUCUCUAACUUGUGUAUGGAAAACUAACAAUGAUGAUUUGAACUGUACAGACAAUCCUACUGCCUUACUGCUCAACCAGACUUUUGACAUAAAAGUGGAUAAUGUUAACUGUACCUUCGUAACACACGAUACCACUGGAAAAAGUCAGUCUUUGCCUACCACUGCAAGCCUGCAGCCAACCAACACGAGAAGCAUAAAUACAUCUUUAUCCUGUUCCAUUCUUCCAUCUUCCCAUUCUGAUAAGAUACAUGUAAGAGAAAUAAGUUGUGAUCGAGAGAGCUUUGAAAAUUCUCAACCUGCAGCAUCACAGGCCCAGGACACAACUUACGCAGUAUUUUCUGACAUGGUGAUGCAAAUUGAUGUUGUUGUUCCAGAUACCGAAAAUCAGUGCCACCAUUCUUUGGGAAAGGUCGCCAGUGAGUACCCAGAUGGAGCACAGCAAAGACGAGGCAGAGAAAAGGAGAUACAAGCUCUAACACAAGUUUCUGAUGGCAUGGAUGCUCCCAGUGGGUCUGUAUCACAAGAGUUCUUUUGUCCAUCUAAAGAUGAACCAAAUAGGGAGACACAUUCAUGGAGCUCAUAUGGGCAAAAGGAAAUGGGCCAAAAUGUAAAAGAAACAGUGUCCAAUUGUCUUAUAGAUGAUGAAUGCCCUUUACUGGUGCCAGCUGUUAAUAAAAGCAAAACCCAAGUGCUGGGCCCAAAACACCAAGUCACUGUGACUAAAGACACACCAACUGCCUUCAAUGAAAAGCAUUUGGGAACCCAAAAUCGUACCAUAGAACUGAUACCAAAUAGCCCGCCAGGACAAAAGGAAGCGUCACUACUUGAGCUGACUUGGAAUGCAGAUGAUAUGGUCAUCAGUACAGAUAACAGAAUUUGCAUGUCCACACCAGUCCUUGAACCCAUGAACACAACCUUUUCUGUCUCACCUGUUGAAGGCGUGGAGAAAUGUAGCAAAGUGCAGACGAGUAAUCGAGAGCCCCGAUGUUUACCAAAUUUGAAGGCAGCACCAAUGAUUGUGUCAAAACUUAACCUAGGAAAAUCUACCACCAAAGCAAAUAGCCCCCUAGGCAGCAAAGUUCGAAAAACCAAAAUUAUAAGUUACCCAAGACCAAACUUCAAGAACAUUAAAGCAAAAGUUGUAUCCAGACCCGUGUUGCAGCCCAAGGACCCUGCUCUAUCAAAGGCUGCGCCCAGACCUCAGUUAACUGGUGCCUCGUCUCCCUCAUCAGUGUCUUCCUCAAGACAGUCAACGGGUUUAAGCAAAACAGCAACAUGUGACUUGAAUGCAGACCCCAAAGCAGAAAUUCCAAUAAACAAGACGCAUAAGCAGCAGUUUAAUAAACUCAUUACGAGCCAGGCUGUGCAUGUUACAACUCAUUCUAAAAAUGCUUCACACAAGAAGCAUCCAAGAACAACAUCUGCCAUGAAAUCAAAUCAGGAAGAUGUUGACAAAGCAAGUUCUUCCAAUCCAGCGUGUGAGACUGGGUCCGUGGCUGCGGUUUUUCAGAUCAAAGAUGAGCUCCCUGUGAAAAUGGAAAGCACAGAAGGCUUGGAAGUGCCCUCUGCUUCCCACGUCGAUAGGAUUAGCCCUGAAAAGAAGGGUGAAGAAGAAAAUGGGACACCAGUGGCAAAACAGGAGCUAAAAAAGGAAAUCCUGAGUGAGACCUCUGCCUUUGGUUCUCUGUUUUUGGAUUCCGCUUCCAAACUUGCAAGCAUCUCAGGUGGGAAACCGGCUACACCCAACUCCUCCAUUCUGAGGAAAACACCUGGUCCGAAAGCCAGAGUGGGGCCUUCUGUUUCCUGUUUGAGGCGGAAUAGCGACAGCAGAAAUCUCACCUCCGAUCGGGCCGUGUCUCCCCAGAGGAUCAGGCGUGUGUCCAGUUCUGGAAAACCUGCAUCCUUGAAAACAGCGCAGCCGUCUCGUGUGAAUCUGCCCAGAUUGCUUCCUAGACCCAAAGCAUCUGUGAAAAACCCUGCGCUGCGGAGGACAGAAAGCGCCUCCUCUGUCGCCAGCAUCCACAGUGAGCUGAGCGCUUACAGCAAUAACUCUGGUAAUGCCGCUGUCAUCAAAUAUGAGGAAAAACCUCCAAAACCAGCAUUUCAGAAUGGCUCCUCAGCAUCCUUAUAUUUGAAGCCCUUUGUACCCAGAGGUCAUGCGCACUUUCUGAAAACUCCUCCAAAAGAUCCUUCAAGAAAAAGUCUAUUUACAGCCUUGAAUACAGUUGAGAAGGGCAGACAGAAGAGUCCCCGAAGUCUGUGCAUCCAGACCCAGACAUCCCCAGAUGUGCUGUCCUCUGAGAAAGCACUUGAGUUGGCUCAAUAUAAAAGCAAAUGUACGAAGCAAAGUGGAGUUAUCCUGCAGCUCAAGCAGCUUCUUUCCCUGGGCAACACCAAGUUUGAGGCAUUAACAGUUGUGGCUCAGCACCUGCUGUCUCAGCGAGAGGAAGCACUGAAACAAAACAAAACCCUAUCUCAAGAACUUGUCAACCUCCGGGGAGAGCUAGUCACUGUUUCAACCACCUGUGAGAAGUUAGAAAAAGCCAGGAAUGAGUUGCAAAUAGCUUAUGAAGGAUUUGUCCAGAAGUUAAACCAGCAGCACCAGACUGAUCUAACAGAGCUGGAGAAUCGGCUUAAAGAAUUUUACACUGGGGAAUGUGAAAAGCUUCAGAACAUCUACAUAGAAGAAGCAGAGAAAUACAAAACUCAAUUGCAGGAGCAGUUUGACAACUUAAAUGCUACCCACGAAACCUCUAAGUUGAAAAUCGAAGCAAGCCACUCCGAGAAAAUAGAAUUGCUAAAGAAGUCCUAUGAAAAUUCCCUUUCAGAAAUCAAGAAAAGCCAUGAAAUGGAAAAGAAAUCCCUCGAGGAUCUGCUUUACGAGAAGCAGGAAUCACUAGAGAAACAAAUCAGUGAUCUGAAGAGUGAAAAUGAUGCUUUAAAUGAAAAGUUGAAAUCAGAAGAACAGAAAAGAGUAUCAAGAGAGAAAGCAAAUUUAAAAAACCCUCAGAUCAUGUAUCUGGAGCAAGAGUUAGAAAGCCUGAAAGCCGUGUUAGAGAUCAAGAAUGAGAAGCUGCGCCAACAGGACGUCAAGUUAAUGAAGAUGGAGAAACUGGUGGACAAUAACACAGCGCUGGUAGACAAACUGAAGCGAUUCCAGCAGGAGAAUGAAGAACUAAAAGCUCGGAUGGACAAGCACAUGGCAAUUUCAAGGCAACUUUCCACGGAGCAAGCGGUCCUGCAGGAGUCGCUGGAGAAGGAGUCCAAGGUCAACAAGCGCCUCUCCAUGGAGAACGAGGAGCUGCUCUGGAAGCUCCACAAUGGGAACCUGUGCAGCCCCAAGAGGUCCCCCACGUCCCCCGCCGCCCCCUUCCAGUCGCCUCGGAACUCCGGCUCCUUCCCCAGCCCCAGUGUCUCACCCAGA
rnacentral:lncRNA from 1 species